rnacentral:tRNA from 1 species
AUUAUUUUGGCAGAUUAGUGCAAUGAAUUUAGAAUUCUUUUAUAUAAUUAUAAAUAAUA